GCCCGGGUGGUGGAACUGGCAGACACGCCAGACUAAGGAUCUGGUCCCGAAAGGGGUGUGGGUUCAAGUCCCGCCCCGGGCACCA
rnacentral:tRNA from 1 species